GCUGUUUCCUGUUAAGAGGUUCCAGUAAUAAAUGAAAAUAUCAGUAAAGAAUAUGACAUUAGUAAUCUGUCCAGAAGCAAUUAGUAGUAUGGGUGAAUCGGAAGAAGAAGCAGCUAAUUUUCCGCCACUACCAAGACCACAGGAUCCAGAAUACCUACGCAACAAUUUUUGGAACCAAAGGGACAACUAUGCAAGAAAGAGAGGGUGAAUAGACAACUAUAGGGAUGGACAAUACCAGAGCAAAGACAAUAAUAAUGAGCCGUGAAAUGGAAUAAAGAAUUCAAUCAAGAAGCAGAACUUUUGUGAUGGAACAAUUCUAUAAUUACCAUUAUUAAUUCUGUGUCUGACCUCAGCUGAGGUUCAUCAUCACAAGUGCUCUACAUUUGUCAGAGCAUUAUGUUAUUCUGAUGUCAUUGCUACAUAUACUGUAAUUAAUAAAC